rnacentral:misc_RNA from 1 species
UAAAUAUCAUUAUAUUAAUGAAAUAUAAUACUUACUUGAGACUCAUUUUACAUUCUGAACACUUGAAGCACAGCUUGUGGAAGGGUGUGCCCCCCGCCUCUAUCCUCUCGGCAGCGUACACCGAUUUACUACAGAUGCCGCACUUCUCUCCGCCACCCUGGUAGUCAAAAGGAGAAAGCAGCCAAAAUCAGACGAUUCUAAAUGACAUAACAAAACUCACGAUCGGCAUUUUGAAGCAUGCCGAAGCGAAAGAACCACCCCACAGACGACACAGAGGGCGACCAGACCAUCCCGCUCCCGAUUCAGUCCUUUUUCUGGAGACAGACAAGCCCAUUCAUUCGACCAAAACUAGGAAAAUUAUGUGAAGCUGCCUGUGUUUCUCUGGAGAGGGUGGUGGUACAGAAUAUUUUGCAUGGUCUGUCUCCGAGUCUCUGUGAGGCCAUACAGAGCGUGCCAAGAUGGAAGGUCAUUCAGGCGGCGUUUCCCCAUGUCAUGCAUGCAUGUGCGGCUCUCAUUCAGCAGUGUAAACAGUGUGACCAGGAUGCCCAGUUUGGACCCAGUGAAGUGAAACUGUUGUAUAUUCUUCAUUGGAUCAUUCUUGAUGCUGCCUCCGAAUGUGAAGACCUGGAAAGUGACCCUGCUAGAAAUGGUGCCUCGGUACAACUGCACUCUCUAUGUACAGUCCAGCUCUUAGUGUAUCUCCUAGCCCCUGUUAUCCAUCUCUUGAGGGACUCGGAUUUCCAGACUCUGAAACUAGAGAAUGGCCUGAGGUUCUGGCAGCCAUUAUGGGACUACAGACAACCUGACAUACCAUGCUUCUCCACACCUGUUAAACCUCAGCGAAAUAUUCUUAAGGCUCAGCACAACCUGCUUAAAGUGAACACAAAUGCUGCCAAUAUUUACAUUGGCAAAGGCACUUCUAGGGAGAAUCUUAGCUUCCUUGUAGAACCUUCUGGGGCCAGUCGUAAAUCCAGCUUCAAUGACCAACACUCCAUACAUGCGCCUCUUGCGAGAUGGAGUGACAUUUGUCCCAUUUCUACCGCAGAUUCGCACUCGGUCAACAUGGAGGUGCUGUGUGAACACUGUAACAAUGUCAUUUCUAGCCGAGAUCAGGAGGAAAGAUCUUGUCAGUGCAACAGAAAGGAAAGCACAGAUACAUUCACUCUAGAGCCCAACUUGUUUAACUUUCAACUAUCCACCUCUGUGGAUGAGGAGUUGGUAAAGCAGAGGCUUGCUAGUGCCGUAACAAGUGGGAUAAGAGGACCAACAGCGCCAGAUAUACUCAGUGCCAGUUACUUUGACAUUGCAGUUUUGCGCUGUCUUUUUAGCUUGCAUUGGUCAGAGGAUGGUGUUUUCUGGGCAUUAAAGUAUGUCCAUCAGAGGCUGCUAGAAGUUUGCGAUGAGUACUUGAGAAGAGAUUACUCGGAACGAGAAAGAAGUCAUUCCCUGCCAUUCCAAGAUUUUAAACUACUGAGAAGUCAAACUAUUCCAUUGCAUGGAGUAGAAAAAUCAAAAGCCAAACUGGGAAUUAAGAAACCCUCUAGCCGACUAGAAACAAUUCCAAGUGCUGGAGAAAUCUCGCCUGCAUUGGAUCAUAAAACAAUCCCUGAUCAGAACACUGAUGGUACUACCCAUCAGGCAUAUAAGAAGUUUAAAACCCUUGGGCAUGAGGACAGCAAAAGCCCACCUUUCAAAGAUAGAAAGCCCACUUUUUACCUUGCCGGGUCCCCAACAAAAGAUGAUGGUCCGUACAGUCAUUUGACCAAUGAAUUCUUGAAUUUUGAAAAAGUGAGAAACAAAGGGAAAAAGUACAAUGAGAGAAUUUACGAACAGUAUCUCACAAAGAAGGAAGAUUCCUCAAGUGCAGCCACAUCUACACAGGAGUUGGAUGUGGAUCCUGGAAAUAAAGGUCAGAAGACAGUGUCAUUUCCCCUGUAUCUGAUUAAAACAGCCGAUGCUAAAUAUAAGCAGCAGCAGGGCUCUGACUAUGAUUCCCUGUUGACCAGUAGCCAUAGUUCCUCAUCAUCCUCACAGAUGGGAGACUCUAGUCAUGCAGAGAACAGAACAGGCACUGAAGGGCGGUCAGAUGUAGUGUCCUCCGAGGACGAGAAACAGAAGCCAAUGAUAAUGGUAUCGGAGCACGGGGUGUGGGAUAGGCAGAGGAAUAGGCAGAAGAUUAAUAAGCCCAUGGAGGCUUCCAAUGGAAUUAAAGGCAGGAAAAACAUUUUUGAAAUGCACAAUCCAAGUUGGAUGAAGGACACAGCUGCCCAAAGAGAUAAAUUUCCAUCAGUGUUUUCUGUCGAUGACCAGUCUCAGCAGCAAAAGAAAGAGAAAGAAGGGUCUCUUCCUCGUAGCAUGACAGACUCGGACAUAAACUACAGCCACGAAGAGGAGGUCCACGAGGUACCAGGGUCGGUCCACUACAUUCAGAAAAAUGGGCAUUUGAACUACAAGGUCAUUCUCCAAGCCAUUCACUUCAUUGCUCUGAAUCAGGCCACGCCGAGAGUGUGUGAAGUGUUGCUGAACAUCAUCAACUGCCUGUUAGAUCUGGACAUCGUGGAGAGGAAGCAGGAUGUCAAGCUGACGGAAUCACCCGAAAAUAAAAAGGCCGACGAAGGCAGCUCUCGCAGCACAACAUCGGAUUCUGCUCAGGAGCAGACGGCACAUGGACUGGCCAUGGACAGCUUGUUUAGCAUUUUCAAAUCUCUGGGAUGUCCUAAUGGAUGUGGAGAUGGACUGAAGGGUAGCUAUGGAGACCACCUUAGGUUGAAAGGUCACAAGUGUUUACAGAGACUGCAGCAGGUUAAUUCUGUGAUGUUCAGAGUCUACUUGAAAGAAACUGUUGAAAAAUGUCCUAUUCAAGAAACAGUGGAUUUCCUGCAUUCUCUUUUGGGAUUUUGCACAGAUCCAACUUUAAUUGCUCAGCAGACACAGGGUCAAGCAGAAAGGAAAAGAUCCUGUUCCCAGCAGGAAGGCCCAGUAAAUGGUUUCCAUAACAACUUUGGGCACAGCAUUGGGGGAGUUGGCUACAGAGGGGAGGAGGGAGUGCUGAUAGCAAACAUCCUGAAGCCAUUCGUGUCCAAGUGUGUGGACAAUGCCAGGGAGUUGUAUGGAAGUGACAACAUAUGUGUGUUCUGUGAUAUCCGCCAGUUUAUGGCUUACGUGAAAGAAAUCCACGGAGGAACAUUCAGAAGAGUGGAACUAAGUGGAUUAUUGGAUUCCGCAAUGAAACUGAAAAAGCAGGAAAAAGAAUCCAAAGCCAGAACCUCAAUAACCAUCAGGAGAACUACAUCCCAGACUUCUGAUAGUGGAGAUGACAUUGGGAAGUCCCCUGCUACACCCAGUGAAGAGCCACCCACUCGAAGCAAAGGCCGGAAAUCCAUCUUCAAAAAGAAGCCGAAAAAGUCCUUAAUCCUUCAGCCAUAUGCCACAGCCAGUGAUUCAGAGCUACUGGAAGACUCCAAGAAUAAGAACGUUACCACUGACGAUGAGGCUGUACCAAACAAUACCUCCAGCACGGGACGACGACGCUUCAGCAAAUUCCAUCUAGGGUUUAGACGUCCCUUGAAGCCUGACCAUGAGGAGGAGGCAAUGAGUGACCCCCCUCCCUUGGACCGGAGGGAGAGUAAGAGUGACAUACAAGCCCCCAGAAUGAAGACCAAAAUGUCAUUUAGGACAGCGAGCCAGGCCACCAUCACCUUCCUUAGUGCCAGGAGAAAGAUUGAGGGGGGUCUCAAAAGUCUGGGGAAGAGGAUGAGUAAGCGAGGAAGUGUAGAUGAAUGGAAACAAAAAGAGACCACCCAGGUGGAGGAUGCAGAAAAUGAUGCCAUUAUUGUGAAGGAGAAGAAGUUGGUGGACAAGUUCCUGAUCAAGUCGGGCAUGCUCAGGUUCUCCUUCCUGCUGGAGUGUGCCCCUCCCGGAGCUAUUCCUGACCCCCAGCUUGUAGCAGCCAUGCUGGAACUGGAAGCACCUGUAGUAGCCCGUGCAGCAUUACUUCUGGAGUGUGCCCAGUUUAUACAUCGCUGUAACCAUGGCGACUGGCCCAACUGGAUGAGACUCAAUCUGCCGAGUUAUCGCCAGUCUACUUCUGCUCUACAGAAUCGUGGCCAGCCAUCGGGCUACAGACGCACCCUGGCUCUACAGAAAUCAGCAGGGAGGAUGUUUUAUAAAUGGGCAGAGAAUCUUGGUAGUAUGAUGGAGUACAUUUUAGCCAAGGAGAACAAGGAUAGGUUGAAUAUAAUCAGUGACAUUCAUAGUGAGUCUAGGAAGAAAGAACUCCGGAUAUCUGAUGAAGAGGAGGACUUUCUAGAUGAAGGUACUGUCAAUGAGAAAGGAUCAGAGUGUCCAUAUGCACUUAAGAUGGCUGCCUGCCUAGUCUUGCAAGAGAUCACCACAUUUCUUAGGGAGACGUUCAGGGACCUGCCAAAAGCACACAAUGUCAGACAUGUGUGGGACCGGCCCACCAGCAACACCAGGAGGUGGAGCAGCAUUGUCAGCAGUCCCGGUCACUCCCAGAGUUCCGAGUCCGGCAUGGCUGACAUGCCUCAUUCGUCGUCUGCUGUGGUUGGAAGCCCAAGUGGGGACAACAGUAGGAAGAUAAGCUUUGCUGUGCUUGGGGAACGAUCUGAUUCAAUUCACAGCAGCACCACCUCCAUAUCAAUGAUGGAUCCCUCAGUGUCCCCCAAUAUCCACAGUGAUGAUAAGAAAGGGAGAAAAUUAGCAGCAACUCGACCAAAAAUCAAACUUUUCAGGGGAGGAUCUGGAACAAAUUCUAGUUUCAGACUCAAAAAGGGGCUUCCACAGAAGCAUAGCAGCAGUUUCAAGAGAUACGGGAGUCAGAAGUCAAGGAAGGUCAGCAGCCAGUCUCAGUUCUCUGACCGUGGGGCGGAGGAGGACCUAGGGAUGGAGGACACAGAAUCACUUCUCAGUGAUGAGAACGAGAGCGGGGACCACGACGAGCCCAAUGACGUCAACCUUUGUCACAACAUGCCAUGGAUCAAGGUUGUAGUACAGCUUGCGAAUCUCUCAAACUUUAUAUGUCCACACCAAAACUUCUGCCACCCAAACUGCUACGAACGUCAGAGGAGGUCGUGCUCCCGCCUUGUGACGGCCCUCAAGAAGAUUUACCAGUCCUCGGAGCACGAGGAGGAGGACAAGAAACAGGACACAAAGAAAGACUUCCUCAAAGAGAGGCUCAAGAGGAGGGGAUCAAUCUUUCAUCAACAAGCUUCACCUACUUGGAGAAGGGAGAGCACUCCGCUGCUAGAAAAGAUCAAAACGGAUGUCUCCAUGACUAAACUCAAGAUGACCUCUACAUGGAAGAAGGAGGAGAAGCCAAAGGAGGUCAAAGAGGAAUCACCCAUGAUCAAGUACAUCGCAUCACAGGCUCAGAAACUGACCCAGUGUCCAAUGGGAAUAAUUGCUAAAGCUGCUCCCAUUUUGUCGGAGGAAAAUCUGAUUGACAUUAUCCCUGUAGCAUGGGAGCUGAUAAUGGAGACAGACCAGGAACUGGCUGCAUCUGCUGCUUCUGUGUUUCUGCUGACCUCUGUGAAGUGCCCCGAUAAAGCCCAGAAAUUGAUGGUGAAGGAGAUGCAGCACGAGGAUACCACACAGAGGAUCAAUGCUGUGUUAAGGUUUGGGGUUUUAUGGAAAUUUAGACAUCAAGUCUGGCCAAGAAUGGAAGAUGGAGCAAACAUGUUCUUUAAGAUGCCACCUCCUAACAUAGACUUCACCCUGCCAUCUCCCACGAUCGGUCUGCCCUCACAGACUGUGGUGGACCCUCCCUGGACCCCCCACUUCAAGGCCAAGAUAGAGGAAGUCACUGUCAACCAGGAGGGAACUAAAUCCUUAGUGACAACCACUACAACUCGGCGUAAAGAACAACAGGAGAUGAUCCGAAAGGCUUUCCAGGCAGAGGAAGAACGGAAGAGGGUGGGGCGAGAACGCUUCCCCAUGACAACCAUCCCUGUCAAUCAUCUGGCAGCCUACGAACCAGCCAUCCAUCACGCCAGCGAAGAACACGAGGAAGCUGUGAUGACGGAUGAACUUAGCAACCUGGCUGCACGGCGUGUAUCAAUGGCUCCCUUCAAUCGAGCUAACUUACAAAGUCGUAGCAUGUCUUGGAGGAAUGGUAGUGUCUAUUGGGCAAGGCUGGAAGGGGAGGAAGAGCGUGCUGAACACCUCCACCACAUGCAGCAGGCCCAGACGUUCUUCCCGUCCUGUAUCUGCGCGGCGGUCCUUCCCAUCAUCCACCUGCUGGCGGAUGGAGAUGUGGGCGGUGAUGGCGUGUCCGUCAAUGAGGUCGCGGAGAAGGUCAUCUGGAACUGUAUGGUGGAGGACCCCGUGCUGUUCCUCAGGCAUUUCCUGGAGAAACUCACACACAGGGACAAACUGGAAGAACUGCUUUUCUUGAUGAGAAAACUUGUGCUUCACUACAGAGAGCUUCCUGCUCAGAUGGCACAUGCUUUGUAUAACUAUCUGAUAGGGUAUGUGAUGUUCUAUGUGAGGUCCCCCUGUGCAGGGAGUCAGAAGGCCAUAGCAGGUGCCCUUGCUCUGAUCUGGCAGGUCAUUCCCAGCGUUGAUGGCAUUUAUUUCAAGGACUUGAAGCAAACACUGAAAAAAGAGCAAUGUGAUCCAUAUAUCUUGAUCUCUGCCAAUGUUCCCAGUGCAAAGAAGAUCUUAAUUCAUGGCCCUGAUGAAGCUAGUAUUCCAUCACAACUGCCAAUACAUGAGGACACCCAAUUCUCUCAAAUCUUGCAAGACAGUUUGGAUUUCUUUAAUAUUCCCGAAGAGGAUUAUCCACUCUAUUUUCUUGUGGAUACCAAAUCAAAUCAGAUACACAACCUGAAUUCCUAUGUCAGAGACUUCUACUUCUUCCGUCGGAACUUUUAUCCACAGCUGAGUUUGGUUGCCAUAGAUCCAGAUAAUGCAAUGGCCUCCCUGGAAAGACAGGCCUUCACAUUAAAAUUUGUAGAGAUAGGGAAAAUCUUAUUUACGACCAAUGUGUUGAAGAGCACACCACUGCAUAAGAUUCAGAAUCAUGUGAGUUUCCUUCAUGAGGAAUUUAUGAAAUUGCCCGCCUUUCCUAGGAAAGCCCUGGAAGCUGAGUUCAGUCUGUACAACGGUAAAGGGGGCGAGGAAAUAUAUGGGUUGGACACCUUGCAUAAAUUAUCUUGGGUCAAGCUGAUAGACACCCUGUUUUCGUCAAUGACCAGCUCCUUUGGCUGGAACAACGACCUGCAGCUGUUCCUGAAUGUGAUCAAUGGCUGCAUCAUUCUCCACUGUGAGGACACCGCCCUGCUCCGCUUCUGUCUGGCCUCACUGAUCAACACCUCCAGGCACUUCAAACACAUCUUCUCCAUGAACGGGUUUAUGCACAUAAUGCCCACCCUCCUGAAGACGUACAGUAACAACCAGCCCAACCCUGUGUUGUGUCAGGCCAUAGAGUUUGUCUGUAGACAGUUCUACAUACUCCACCGCAAACCCUUCAUACUCCAGAUGUUUGGCAGUGUAGCCACCAUGUUGGACUUGACUUCCAAAGAAACUGGGAUGAUAGACUGCAGAAAGAUUCAGCCAGACUGCCUGUUCAAGCUUCUUCUGUCCCUGGAGAAGCCAGACUGUGCCGACAACCUGAGUAUUUUAGAACUGGUGGACGGAGCAAAGCCUCUACAAGCUCUGGACUUCUGUUAUGAGAAUGAGCCAGAUCGGCUAACAAUGAUUGAGGUGGUCAACUUGUGUGUGACUGUGAUAGCAUAUGCCCCCGACUCAUUCAGAAGUGUGGAGAUGUUGACCAUCCUUGAAGUGGUGGUUUCUAAGUAUGUCCACCAUGUCAGAAGUGAGACGAUCCGAGUGGAUAAACCCCAUGCAGCCCAGGCCGAGGUGUCAGCCAUUAUUGACGUAGGAAUCGCAAUGCGGGCUCUCAUCAGCUCCUGUGAAUAUUUUACCAGGAGUAUGGCUUUACCAAGACAGAUAGAAAAUGAGAAAGCCAACCCCAAGAGUGUGACCAGCAAUCACUCUCCUCUUGGAGGAACGAGUUACUAUGACGACAGGGAAGACUCCCAUAUCAGUCGCCAUGUGGAAGAAGGCAGGAAGAGACAGGAAACGGAGGACACAGAACUGACCAAUGAAUUUAGGAAGCCCCGCGAUUUGUUUCUGAAUGUGAUCGCCGAGUUCUACAGCACCUGUCAGCCGCGACUGAAGAGUAACGAAUUGCGGAGGAUGCUGGUGGAUGCUGCAUCGCGUCCUCCCACUGAACUACUGGAUCACAGAUCUCACAAUAGGCUUGCAGAAAUAGCCAACACACUGUUGAAAUUGGCUCCAUAUGAUCCCCAAACACUAAGUUGUACUGGACUUCAAAGAUAUAUGACAGAAAUAUUACCACUGACAAACUGGAAGCAAGAAGCUGUGAGGCCAGGAUUGAAUCUGAUUUUGAGGCGACUUGAUCGACUAUUCAACAAAAUUUCAAAAAAGUCAUCUCUCAGGAGACAGGCAGACUGGAAUGCUGCAGCAAACCUAUUACAAGGUGUAUAUUUGGCACUAAAGACUUUCCAGUAUAUUGCCCACUUACCCCACCUAAAGACAUUUGUGAAUGCGCUGCUGGUGAUUGUGUUGGCGGGUCCAGGGGCACCUGUUCUGCCAGAGACCACCUCCGGAAUCCACGGCAGCCACCGCAGCGAGUACGGAGCCGUAUUUCACAUUGUUCCACCCACAUUUUGCUCAGCUGUGGUCAAACUUGUAGCAAUGCAGAUGCAAGCAUUAGGGGACCAGUUUUCCUUGGAGCAAAUUUGUGGAGGGAGUGUGUUUGCUUCCCAUGACAAGUGUAUCAACAUGCUGGUCAACUUCAUAUUGCCUCUGUGUAUCCGACUGGGAUGUGCCAGAAAAGGAGACACUCCCAAGUUGAGAGCAGACAAUGUGACCUUUGCCCUGACGGUGAUCCUGAAUAUUCUGUGUCCCCCUGCGAGGAACCCCCAACAGCAGCAGAACUCCAGCUCCAAGUCCACCAUACAUCACCUGUCCUUCUCCGAAAAUCACCGCUGUAGCAGCUUCAGUCAGUCAGACAAGAUCCACCGGCCAGAGAACCAGCUACUGCUCAAUGUGGCUUAUCUUGGUCUGGAAAUACUGAUGGUCUGUUUUGAUCGAAUUUUGUCAUCUGAGUGGCACAAGGUCACAAAGGUCAUACAGGAUCUGGGGAGUAAAGGAAAAGUAUCUUUGCCACUGUGGAGAUUUGUGGAUUUUCUGGUCACCCACAGACCAUCUUGCUUCUUGAUGCUUCAUCCAUUUAUUUUGUAUAAAAUGAUGAAGAUAAACUGUGACACGGCCCAGGAGUACUACCUACAGCAGGCCAUUAAGGACAAGAUGCAGGGCUUCUCCUUCUCCCAUCCCAAGUGUUCAGCCACCGUGCUUCUCCAACUGGCUGUGGAGCUACAGCAUCUCAAAGAGGAGUUCUACAAUGUGGGUGAGGUGCGUUCCCAGGAGGCAGAUCUUCCACACAAUCAGUACGAGCAGCGGGCCAGUGUCACUGAUGUGGCCAUCGAUCUGAUUGGAUUGUCCCUGGGACCAACAUUAGCAGCAGGAGGAAAAUUCCCCAGUGCCACCAUUUUGUCCCAGCCAAGUUCCAGCACAAGUCCACCAUUUAAGGCCACCGCUGUUACGUCCAGUAUUGAAAGCGACAGUCCUACUCAUAAAGACAGGAAGACCAGCCGACGAAUCUCUGCCAAGGAAAACCUCCACCUGUUGGACAGGUUCCGGAAACAUCCCCUGGAUGACAUGUCCCCUCCAGAUUCCUCAGGGCCAGAGGUUUGUUCCCUGUCCAGACAGCCAGCUAUCUACCGGUCCAUGGACACUAUUUCCAGACAGAGUAGCAUUGAUGAACCUCUCCCCCCAGCAGUGAUGUAUCAGACUAAUGAGCUGGAGACACCACCCAAUGGACUUGCAAAACAGACAAUAAGCCCUGAAUUGGAUCCCAAAGUUCAUCGCCUGCAAAGGCAAGAUGUCAGAAGCAGAAAGACCUUCAAACGCAGGAAGGCCACGAAAGCACCUAGCAUGAAGAGACUUGGGGGCCAUGGUUACCCAGAGGACACCAGUGAAGGGGAGGCAGGGAGCUCAGAGAGUUCUCCAGCUCGAAGAGCGUACAGCAUGCGCCGCACCAACCAACGUGACACCCUCACGUCCUAUCAAGACAGGUCCGCAUACGUCAGAGAGAUUUCUCGGAGCCAUCAGGGAUUUACGUCACAUCCUGGUUUUCCUGAGCUGUCUCGUUCGGGGAAUACACGGUCAAGCUGGGGCAGUGGUACAGCAACGGAGAGGAAUCGUACCCAGCACCGAAGUGGCCAAGGGCAGUCGGAACAUGAACCACCGGAAGAGGAAAUCAAGACCAAUAGACAGAGAUACAUACAGCGCUCCAAAUCCCACGACGAUCCGCACGGGGACCUGAAUGCCCCAGCUGGUUCUGCCAGGGGAAGGAUCGCCCGACAGGGGGGUAGAAUCGUUCACUCACGCUCCCCCUCCUCCAGCCCUGCAAGGACCCCCCGGGAACCGAUCGACUGGACCACAAAAGCUGAACAGGAACCCCAGAGCAACACACAACCCCCUCAGGGAGUUACCUCCCCCAUCGUGAGACGCCUAGCUAAGAGGGUCAAGUCGCCCACCUCUCCUCCUCCCUCACAUAGAAUGAGCUCUCCCCCUGAUAGUCCGGUCCCCUCCCCCCAGGCCUACAUUGCGCGGUACGAUUCGAGCGACUCGCUGAAUGCCAACGAGAGCUCGGCCCUGAUACGGGACCAGGAUGAUUCCAGCCGGUCUCACUCCUCUGUAUGUAUUUACUUUGAUGACUUUGGGAUCAAGGACACACUAGUCUGAUUCACAUGUAAAUACUGUAUAUAAACAUGAACUUUACUGUAAACCUAUAAAUACAUGUGUGUGGUAGGGUAUUUUGAUGAAGAUGAAGAAGUAUGACCAUAACCUGUUAAUAACUUAUUUAUUUGAUUUAUUCUUUUUCUCAACAAAUAUAGCCUAGCUGAACAUAAAAUUAUUGCUUUACGCAAAUAUUGCAGAAUUUUAAUGCUUUACGCAAAAGUUGCAGAAUUUUACCCCUAAAAAAUAUCCACUUUUACAGUUUGUCACGACAAAAGAUAUGUUAAACAUAUUUACAUUUACAGUAUGUUUCGACAAAAGAUAUGUUAUAAAUGUUUACAUUUACAGUAUGUCACGACAAAAGAUAUGUUAUACAUGUUUACAUUUACAGUAUGUCACGACAAAGGAUAUGUUUUACAAGUUUACAUUUACAGUAUGUCACAACAAAAGAUAUGUUUUACAUGUUUACAUUUACAGUUGUUGUUUGUAGUGUUGAUGUUGAGUUUGUGAUAUGUACCAUAUUUAAGAUCUGGUGUGAUGAAACCGUUAGAUAGACUUAUAGUAGGCUAGACAUUGCAUGUUAUGUCAACUACCUACCAUACCUGUAAUAGCUAGUGUGCAGAUAGUUUUAUAUGAAUGCGCUGGUUUCAAGUAAGAAAUUUUUACAAUGCAGUUGAUAUGUUUAUACAAUAUACAUUUAUACUAAUUUUCUAAAUCCAUUACCAUUUGAUAGUAUUUUUCAACAACUAUAUAUACAAAGACCUGAUUAUUGACAAUCCAGUUUGUAAAUCUACCACAUAUCAACUCAUAGUUUGUUCUACUGGGAUAUCCGUUUGUAACUUGCAAUAACAGUGCAGUGCCUAAGAAGAAAUUACAAUAACAGAAUGAAUACUGUAACCCCCGUUAUAGUUAGUUAGUUAAUUGGAUUGAACAUUCAUUUGAAUGAUACAAACAAAACAAGAAAUUGUUGCUUAAAAAAUUACAGAACGAGAUAUGUUUUUCUUGUGCCAAAAUUUUUUUUAGUGCAAUAUUUCUGAAAUUUAUUCAAAAGCGAUAUUUAUUUGAUUUAAGCAUCCUUUUGAAUCAAGUUUGUGACAUAUGUUCUUUGAAUAAUAUUAGACAGAAAAUGUUUUUAUUUUGAUGAUGUUACUGAAUUUGGAAAUUGGGAGGAUAGGUAGCGCUAGCCAAAGAAAAUCAUUUGAUUUUAUUUUAAAAUUCUAUUGUUACAAUUAACAAUUUGGGAUAAAGGUGAGAAUUUUUAAAAGCAAACUGAAAAUAUGAUAUCUGUAAUAUAUAGUCAACUUAAAUAAAUUACAGUCAGUUUUGGAUCCAAAAACAUGCUAUUUAUAUGUACGUUUAUCUUGUCCAUAUCAUAGUAUACAAAUGACUGUGAAGUUAGAGAAAUGGAAAAAGGUGGAUUGAUUUUUUGGUAGUACAUAUAACCUAUGUUCAUUGGCAACAUUGUUUAUAUUAGAACAAUUUUGUGGAAAUUACCCAUCUCUUAAGUAUUUUACAAAUUUCACUGUAGUUUACCAAUACAAUGUAUUUGCAAAUUCGCAGAAUUGACAUGCCAUAUGACUAAAAUCAUUUCAGAGUUGUGAUAAAAGACAUGAGGUUGUGUAGUACCCACACGUACUUGCCGAUUACUGGGUAUAUUAGAAUAUUUACAGAUGAAUUUGUACAAAACUUUUACAAAUAUAAAGACAAAUAUCUUUGUUUUGCAUGAAUAAUGCUGUGAUGUAUAUAUAUAUAUUAUUAAGUAUUGUUGGUGAUUUAGAAUUAAAUUUGUUUUUGAUAAUGUGAAUGUUUUGCUUUGUUAAUACACAUGAAUGAAAUGUAUUAAUGAUUCAAGAUA